GAAAACUCCCUGCUGGAGCCAGCGUCGUGACGUCAGAGACAUUAUUGGGGAUGUACCACGCGCCUGCGCGUAUUCAUGACUCUUGACUUUCAGUGUGCUUCGCUAGCAGACACAUGCAGUUCUGUUCCAGCACCUCACUAAAAUGUUGAAUUCUUUGUGUGUACGUGUGCGUUGAUGACAAUAGACCACACACACACACACACACACACAUACACAUAUGUUUAUCAAUAAAUCCCAUAACAUCACCUAAAGUCGCAGCUGUUCUCUGACCGGAGCACAUAGUCAGUGAGGGGGCGACUAGCCAUCAAUGUACACGUCCGUCACACAUAUUUUUAUGUAAUUCUAACAUUGUAUAAACAAGCUUAAGAGUUUAAGCUUUUUUAUACAAUGUGCCAAUAUUUUGUAUCAGUUUAAUCAACUGUCAGAAUUGGUUACUAAAUUAAUCACUAUUUGCAGCCGUAAAUUAUAUAAAUUUGAAACCUUAUCUAAAAAAGUAAUUUCAAUCAAGAUUGAUAAAAAAAAUAGCAAUUUAAUUGUUUGCAUGUUGAUGUAUUUCCAAUAUUGUAUUAAGCGAUUAAAUGAAAAAUUGGCAGAAUGUGGCAAUUGUUUUUUUUUUUUACAAAUUAAUCAUCUAAAAAAUCGUUAGUUACAGCCCUACUAAUGAUCAUCAUACAGUAUCUUAGGGGAGAUUUACGGGAUGUGUCAAAACAAAAGAAGAAGAAACGACUCCAGACAGGCUCAGGACAGAAAGAAGUAUAUUUUAGCUAAGUUUGAGUAACAAUACAGCCUUCACAUGAGGCUCAGAAGCAUAGAGUAUAUGUAUGCAUAAAUAUGCAUUCAAAUCCACAAACCAAAUAAAUAAAUAAAUAAUUACUUACAAAUAAAUAACAAGCAUUUCUGGAAUAUACAGUACAGCAGUUGAAAUGUUCCAAUAUUGAAGCAGUACCUUUAUGGAUCCAUGGAACAGGGGGAAUGGAUAUUCAGUGUUCGACAAGCCAACAGGGGUCCCAACGCUUCGGCACAGCCCAUCGUUUCACGCUUUGAUUUGUGUGUUGUUUUUUUCCCUUUUUUUCUUAAAACCAAUUCCCAGGACUCUGUAGCUGCAUUACAGCAACAUAAAGUGAUAAAAGAAGCCAGUUUGUUCAUAGGUGGUUCAUGGAACCAGAUGCUCAAUGAUCGGGGGGCAUUCCACAAAGUCUGAAAAGAUUUUUAAAAAACAAACAAAAAACCCAAAACAAACAGAAGAAAAUAAGGACAGAUGUGCUGCGUGUCAGUCCCCGUGAGGUAACUCUCCAUUCUUGUUUCCCUUCACACAUAAAGUCUCCUCACUAAGAUUUAAAAAUACUGAAAUCUCGUGAAUCCCUUUGUGAAAUAGUCCUGCCAAGCAAACGGAUAAUUUAAGAUCAACAGCAGCACCGAACUUAUAAAGACAAAAAAGAA